rnacentral:lncRNA from 12 species
GGCCGUACACCAUGGUCAAGACAAUAAACUAUUAUAAAAUCGCACCUUGGUAACAUAUCAGUCAGCAUUUGAACUGCUAUGUGCAUGAGUUUGUAUUCUUUUUUUAUAUAUAUGUAUCAUUAAAUUAUUCAAGUCAGUUCAAACGCAAUGCCAGCAUUUAAAGUUGUAAUCCAGCAAGGUCGCAGCAAAACAAUAUGGCCAAAGUCUUGGCUAAGCCUGAGGCUACAUCACCCGGCUCCGGGGUUUUAUAUUGUAUCCUUCAGUACAAUAUAAAAUAUAAAGACAAAUAUGAGCAGAGCAAUGCUGGCUCCAGAACUUUUUAAAAUCCUGUCAGGAUGGCAGUUGUCCUCUCGCACCGUUGCUAUGCGACGAAGCGGCAAUCAACACCUGGUGGCGCAUGGAAAUCCUCCAAAGGCGGAGCGUCUUAUGCACUUCGAAGUGUCCUUUGUGCACAAGUCCGCACACUUCGGAUUCCGCGCUUCACUUUGGGACACAGCUAGUGAAUCUCGCGUAGUAAUCAAAUGGAACAGAAAUCUGCUACGGUUUUCUGGAACGGAAAAAACGAACAAUGAAGGUGGCGAAGAUAUUUCAGAAAAAAAUAUAUCAGACCACAAGGGAUAUUUUGAGCCCUUAGCUGAUUUUGACCAUCUUGGUGAUAACGCCGGAGUUUCAGGUCUUCAGAAAAAAUCAUUAAUUAAAGGACAGCUACUCAGUUCUUCUGAAGCAGCCUGGGAUGCCAUGUCUCCAAAGUUGAGGUGUGGUGACGAUCUCGUGAAGUUACAGCUCAGUGGUCCAGAAGUAGCAAAUGUUGAACUCUGUCGAGGUAAUGGGGUGCCUGUUCCUCUCACUCAGUUGCCACCUCACUGUGGACACACAGCACUCACUUAUGCAGGUCUUGUCUAUGCUACUCCCUAUGAUGGAUGUGGUGUUGUGCAACAGGGAGGGUAUUAUGUGAUGCAGAUACAGUGGCAGGGAAACUCUGCAGUCAUUACUUGUCCUAUGACCUCUACCAUUGCAAAUGAAACCUUCCUGGGACCUCAUCCUCCUAAAUAUCUGCACAUUUUGCUGCCUCCCUUCUCUCCUGAUACACAAAGUCCAGAUGCACCUGCAAUGCCACAAGUGUCUGAUACUGCAACACUGAAGCCACCACCUCUUGUGUACCCUCAAGUGUAUCCACAAGGGUUUUGGCCUUUCCCUCAUUAUCUUUAUCCUGGAAGGGUUUAUGCCACAGCUAAACAAACGGAGAAACCUGUUACAACUACUCUAGUUUCCCAAGCACCAACUGGAGAACCUCAACCUCCCAAAUACCCCGAGAUGUCUUGGCCACACUACCAUCCUGAUUACCUCUAUCAUGGCAGACCAAAACCCACUUUGAAACCUGUUCCCGCCUCUGGCUCUGACACUGAAUCGGAUGCACCACAUGAAAAGCCUCAACCUCCGAAGUGCCCCCCGCAGCUUUGGCCCUAG